AGAUUGAACGCUGGCGGUAUGCCUAACACAUGCAAGUCGAACGAGGUAGCAAUACCUAGUGGCGGACGGGUGAGGAAUACGUAGGGAUCUGCCUUUAAGUGGGGGAUAACCCGGGGAAACCCGGAUUAAUACCGCAUGAUCUCGCAAGAGCAAAGAGGGGGACCGCAAGGCCUCUCGCUUUUAGAGGAACCUACGUCGGAUUAGCUAGUUGGUGAGGUAAUGGCUCACCAAGGCGACGAUCCGUAACUGGUCUGAGAGGAUGAUCAGUCACACCGGAACUGAGACACGGUCCGGACUCCUACGGGAGGCAGCAGUGGGGAAUAUUGGACAAUGGGCGAAAGCCUGAUCCAGCAAUACCGCGUGUGUGAAGAAGGCCUUCGGGUUGUAAAGCACUUUAAGUUGGGAAGAAAAAGCUUCACCUAAUACGUGGAGCCUUGACGGUACCGACAGAAUAAGCACCGGCUAACUCUGUGCCAGCAGCCGCGGUAAUACAGAGGGUGCUAGCGUUAAUCGGAUUUACUGGGCGUAAAGCGUGCGUAGGCGGUUUAAUAAGUCGAUUGUGAAAGCCCCGGGCUCAACCUGGGAAUUGCGGUCGAUACUGUCAGACUCGAAAACGGUAGAGGGAGGCGGAACUCCAGGUGUAGCGGUGAAAUGCGUAGAUAUCUGGAAGAACACCGAUGGCGAAGGCAACCUCCUGGGCCUGUUUUGACGCUGAGGCACGAAAGCGUGGGUAGCAAACAGGAUUAGAUACCCUGGUAGUCCACGCCGUAAACGAUGAGAACUUGACGUUGGUUUGCUUAGCAAAUCGGUGUCGUAGCUAACGCGAUAAG
rnacentral:rRNA from 1 species